rnacentral:rRNA from 1 species
UACGUAGGCAGCAAGCGUUGUUCGGAGUUACUGGGCGUAAAGGGUGUGUAGGCGGUUGUUUUAAGUUUGGUGUGAAAUCUCCCCGGCUCAACCGGGAGGGUGCGCCGAAUACUGAGUGACUAGAGUGCGGGAGAGGAAAGUGGAAUUCCUGGUGUAGCGGUGAAAUGCGUAGAUAUCAGGAGGAACACCGGUGGUGUAGACGGCUUUCUGGACCGUAACUGACGCUGAGACACGAAAGCGUGGGUAGCAAACAGG